GAUGAAGAACGCUGCAAAAUGCGAUAAGUAAUGUGAAUUGCAGAAUUCAGUGAAUCAUCGAAUCUUUGAACGCACAUUGCGCCCGCUGUAUUCCGGCGGGCAUGCCUGUUCGAGCGUCAUUUCAACCCUCAAACCCCCCGGGUUUGGUGUUGGGGAUCGGCUCUGCCUCACGGCGGUGCCGCCCCCGAAAUACAUUGGCGGUCUCGCUGCAGCCUCCAUUGCGUAGUAGCUAACACCUCGCAACUGGAACGCGGCGCGGCCAUGCCGUAAAACCCCAACUUCUGAAUGUUGACCUCGGAUCAGGUAGGAAUACCCGCUGAACUUAAGCAUAUCAAUAAGCGGAGGA
rnacentral:misc_RNA from 1 species